ensembl:lincRNA
ACUGAACUCCAAUUUGCUUAAAAAGUCUAGAAGUUAAAUAAUGGAAGGUUGGAUCAUGAUUUCAUGGCAGAUCAGAAACAGCUGUUCCUUAAGUUUAAGACAGAAACUUGGUCUGAAAAGUGACACACGCUCUGUUUCUGCAGAUGUCUCCAAAAACAGAAGUUGUUGCACCUGACAGUGAAUAUUAAAGGUUUGGCCUGCUUUAUCUCUCGCUUUCACAAUGAAUCAUAUCUCAAUAAAUUCUGUCUCAC